GAUUGAACGCUGGCGGCGUGCUUAACACAUGCAAGUCGAUCGGUAACAGGUGUAGCAAGUACAUGCUGACGAGAGGCGGACGGGUGAGUAAUGCUUGGGAAUCUGCCUAUUAGUGGGGGACAACCCGGGGGAAACUCGGGCUAAUACCGCAUACGCUCUACGGAGGAAAGCCCGGGGACCGCAAGGCCUGGCCGCUAAUAGAUGAGCCCAAGUCGGAUUAGACUAGUUGGUAGGGUAACGGCCUACCAAGGCGACAAUCCGUAGCUGGUCUGAGAGGACGACCAGCCACACCGGAACUGAGACACGGUCCGGACUCCUACGGGAGGCAGCAGUGGGGAAUAUUGGACAAUGGGGGCAACCCUGAUCCAGCGACGCCGCGUGGGUGAAGAAGG
rnacentral:rRNA from 1 species